GCCAGCCCUAAGAGCUAUUGACUAAAGGUUGCUGUCUUCUUCUUCACAUUUUUCCCCUGUCUGAGCCCAAAUCCUUUUCUGGAGAGAGGGCAGAGUGUUGCAGAGAGCUGGAAGUUUUGACUCUUGAUGGAUCUGAACCACCUCCUUUCACUUUGGCUGGAAGGAACUUUCACAAGAAUAGCAAAAGGAAAACUGUGAUCUCUCACCAAAAUGUCCAGAAAAUAAACAACCUUAGAAACUUUGCUACUUCUCGUGGAUCUUUUUACUUUCCUCUGGGGGAAUACAGAGUCUUGUUUCAACCAAAGACUGUGUAUAAAGGAAAUGAUCUGUGAUCUUGGAGCAGCAUGGAUUCUGCAUAAUGGUGAUCACAUGUUCCAAUUCAUCCUCAUCGAGCUCUCAAACCUUCUUGAUGGCACUUGCAAGUGUGUCUUAUCACCAGAAUUGACCGGGAAGAGGGGGAGGGUGUUCUAAGCAUCUCCAGAUGUAAAUAUGACAACUGAAAAUCUCAAAAUUUCAAUUUUGAGUGCAGUAGCCAUUAAUAGAAAGCCAGAAGAUCCAAGGAUACCCAGACACUUGUCUCACGGCAGGUGGAUCCAAAUGUAUAUCUAUCAAGGAAUUAGUAGACAAGUUGUGCUAGUUAUUUAAGAAGAUGGAGAAAUAUGUGAAAUUUACAUUGAAGAUGAGCACAUCACCCCCUGGCAGGACAUUCCAGAAGAGCUGAUGAGGAGAUUGGGCAGGAUCUUGCUCACAUGGCUAAGAAGUUUCACAGGGGGGACUACCUGGAAGCGCUUACUAGAAAUCUCUGUUAGCACGUACACUUUUACAAGUCUGAACUUAAAAAGGCAGGUGUGAAUGCCACCCUUGCCU